rnacentral:rRNA from 1 species
GACGAACGCUGGCGGCGUGCUUAACACAUGCAAGUCGAACGCGCCUGUCCUCUGGGUUUCUGGGGGGUGGGUGAGUGGCGAACGGGUGAAUAACACGUGAGUAACCUGCCCCCUUCUUCGGGAUAACGGUCUGAAAGGGCUGCUAAUACCGGGUAUUCACUGGUCUCCGCAUGGGGUCUGGUGGAAAGGUUUUUUUCUGGUGGGGGAUGGGCUCGCGGCCUAUCAGCUUGUUGGUGGGGUGAUGGCCCACCAAGGCUUUGACGGGUAGCCGGCCUGAGAGGGUGACCGGUCACAUUGGGACUGAGAUACGGCCCAGACUCCUACGGGAGGCAGCAGUGGGGAAUAUUGCACAAUGGGCGCAAGCCUGAUGCAGCGACGCCGCGUGAGGGAUGGAGGCCUUCGGGUUGUGAACCUCUUUCGCCCGUGGUCAAGCCGCGACGUGGGUCGUGGUGAGGGUAGUGGGUAAAGAAGCGCCGGCUAACUACGUG